rnacentral:piRNA from 2 species
GUCGGUAGAGCAUGAGACUCUUA